GUGCUUGCUUUGGCAGCACGUAUACUAAAAUUGCAACAAUACAGAGAAGAUUAGCAUGGCCCCUGAGCAAGGAAGACACUCAAAUUCGUGAAACGUUCCAUAUAAAA